GACCUCGUAGCUCAGCCGGUAGAGCAUCUGACUUUUAAUCAGGGGGUCAUGGGUUCAAAUCCCAUCGAGGUCACCA
rnacentral:tRNA from 1 species